rnacentral:rRNA from 1 species
UACGUAUGGGGCAAGCGUUAUCCGGAUUUACUGGGUGUAAAGGGAGCGUAGGCGGCCUGGCAAGCCUGAUGUGAAAUACCGGGGCCCAACCCCGGGGCUGCAUUGGGAACUGCCAGGCUGGAGUGCCGGAGAGGCAGGCGGAAUUCCUAGUGUAGCGGUGAAAUGCGUAGAUAUUAGGAGGAACACCAGUGGCGAAGGCGGCCUGCUGGACGGUGACUGACGCUGAGGCUCGAAAGCGUGGGGAGCAAACAGG